rnacentral:rRNA from 1 species
UGCCUACGGGAGGCAGCAGUGAGGAAUAUUGGUCAAUGGGCGGAAGCCUGAACCAGCCAAGUCGCGUGAGGGAAUAAGGCCCUACGGGUCGUAAACCUCUUUUGCCGGGGAGCAAGGGCCGGGACGAGUCCCGGUCCGGAGAGUACCCGGAGAAAAAGCAUCGGCUAACUCCGUGCCAGCAGCCGCGGUAAUACGGAGGAUGCGAGCGUUAUCCGGAUUUAUUGGGUUUAAAGGGUGCGUAGGCGGGACGGUAAGUCAGCGGUAAAAAUGCGGAGCUCAACUCCGUCGAGCCGUUGAAACUGGCG